rnacentral:tRNA from 1 species
GCGCCCGUAGCUCAGCCGGAUAGAGCAUCUGCCUUCUAAGCAGAGGGUCGCAGGUUCAAGUCCUGCCGGGCGCGCCA